rnacentral:rRNA from 1 species
UACGGAAGGGGCGAGCGUUGUUCGGAAUCAUUGGGCGUAAAGGGCGCGUAGGUGGUUCUGUAUGUGUACCGUGAAAGCGUACGGCUCAACCGUAUUUUGUCGGUAGAAACUGCAGGACUUGAGGCUGGGAGGGGCUGGUGGAAUUCCCUGUGUAGCGGUGAAAUGCGUAGAGAUGGGGGAGAACACUCGUGGCGAAGGCGGCCAGCUAGACCAGUUCUGACACUGAGGCGCGACAGCGUGGGGAGCAAACAGG